rnacentral:rRNA from 1 species
AUUAUUGGGCGUAAAGAGCUCGUAGGCGGUUUGUCGCGUCUGCUGUGAAAUCCCGAGGCUCAACCUCGGGUCUGCAGUGGGUACGGGCAGACUAGAGUGCGGUAGGGGAGAUUGGAAUUCCUGGUGUAGCGGUGGAAUGCGCAGAUAUCAGGAGGAACACCGAUGGCGAAGGCAGAUCUCUGGGCCGUAACUGACGCUGAGGAGCGAAAGGGUGGGGAGCAAACAGGCUUAGAUACCCUGGUAGUCCACCCCGUAAACGUUGGGAACUAGUUGUGGGGUCCAUUCCACGGAUUCCGUGACGCAGCUAACGCAUUAAGUUCCCCGCCUGGGGAGUACGGCCGCAAGGCUAAAACUCAAAGGAAUUGACGGGGACCCGCACAAGCGGCGGAGCAUGCGGAUUAAUUCGAUGCAACGCGAAGAACCUUACCAAGGCUUGACAUACACCAGAACACCGUAGAAAUACGGGACUCUUUGGACACUGGUGAACAGGUGGUGCAUGGUUGUCGUCAGCUCGUGUCGUGAGAUGUUGGGUUAAGUCCCGCAACGAGCGCAACCCUCGUUCUAUGUUGCCAGCACGUAAUGGUAGGAACUCAUGGGAUACUGCCGGGGUCAACUCGGAGGAAGGUGGGGAUGACGUCAAAUCAUCAUGCCCCUUAUGUCUUGGGCUUCACGCAUGCUACAAUGGCCGGUACAAAGGGCUGCAAUACCGUGAGGUGGAGCGAAUCCCAAAAAGCCGGUCCCAGUUCGGAUUGAGGUCUGCAACUCGACCUCAUGAAGUCGGAGUCGCUAGUAAUCGCAGAUCAGCAACG